AUCAGGGGGUUGAUUGGUUGGUUGGUGGUUGACUGUUGGUGAAUAACUCUGUCGUGCUGAGGAUAGAGCAUUGCAAUUAUUGCUCUUCAACGAGGAAUCCCUAGUAAGCGCAAGUCAUCAGCUUGCGUUGAUUACGUCCC
rnacentral:ncRNA from 1 species